rnacentral:rRNA from 3 species
UGGGGAAUAUUGCACAAUGGGCGAAAGCCUGAUGCAGCGACGCCGCGUGAGGGAUGACGGCCUUCGGGUUGUAAACCUCUUUCAGUAGGGACGAAGCGCAAGUGACGGUACCUACAGAAGAAGCACCGGCCAACUACGUGCCAGCAGCCGCGGUAAUACGUAGGGUGCGAGCGUUGUCCGGAUUCACUGGGCGUAAAGAGCUCGUAGGCGGUUUGUCACGUCGUCUGUGAAAACCCGAGGCUUAACCUCGGGCCUGCAGGCGAUACGGGCAGACUUGAGUACUGUAGGGGAGACUGGAAUUCCUGGUGUAGCGGUGGAAUGCGCAGAUAUCAGGAGGAACACCGGUGGCGAAGGCGGGUCUCUGGGCAGUAACUGACGCUGAGGAGCGAAAGCGUGGGUAGCGAACAGG